CCAAUUCUCUCCCUCAUCCCACAGGGUUGGGGAGUGAGUGAGUGGCUGGGGGGUGCUCAGCUGCCAACCGAGCUGCCACUCCUCUGUAAAUCAUAACAGCAGUGCCCCAGGCACACGACAUCUGAAUGGUGGGACACAAUCGGCAUCCACUGAGCAUCUGCAGAUUAGGAGUGCAGCAGCGUACAGGAGGAUUAGCCAUGGAAGUUUAGAAGAAAUCACAAGUAUGACAAGAGAUCUCCACUCAGCAAAACAUCAUAUUAAAGAUGGAGGAAGUCAGAAAUAUAAAAGGUGUGGUAUUUACAAAGACAGCUGAGUGAGUCUUCCAAUAGCCACGUUCAUUCACAUGUUUCCAGGCUCUCCUGACUGAGGGUGGGGUCCCGCAGGCACCAGCUUUCCUUGCCCUGCAAUCCUGACCCACUCCAAAGGCAGUGCUCCAAAGUCCCCUCUCUCCAACUGAUAAGGGGACAUGAGUCACAGGGCAAAAAUUCUGUAUGAUCACAGUAUAUACCAUCCCUUUUCCAUUAUUAAACAUUAGCAGGGGAUUUAAUGAAAAAAUACAAUGUGUCCUAACUUUGAACUAACUUUGAACUGGCUCAGCCACUCAGCUUUCUUUUAACUAAGUUCACUUUAAAGUAGUCUUUUCAAAAAGUCUAAGCAUGCUGGAAAAAAAAGAAAACUAAUUCUGUGGCUUGCCUUACGUCCCUUCCACACAGGAAUCCUCUCUCCAGCUUGUGUAUUUGGAUCCUGGGCAAAUGUUUGGGGGGAUAGCAACAGCUGAACCAGUGACUCUGUCAGAUCUCAAGACUGUGAAAUGCUGUCAUUCCUCUGUGAUUUACAGCAACGAGGCAAACAAAGAAUUGUCUUAACACGGAUUAGUGAAAAAAAAGCAUUAUUUUACUCCUACCCGUGUUCUCAAACAUUUGGAAGUCUUUUUCUUCCUCACAUGGGACAAAAUACUUCAGCACUAACAACAGAUUAUCAGCCACUGAAAAUAAAGUUUCUAAGUGUCAGUGACCUUUAUUACUGUAUUGCAACCAGUGUGACCUACGAUACGGUACAUUAAUUAGUAGGUGGCAAGUAAGUUGGUUUUGAGCUAAAUCUGGUGCAGUUUUACGAAAAGCAGUGGAGCAUCUGAGAAGGCAUAACUAAAGGGACAGCAUGGUGCAAAUGUAGAGAGGGAGUAAGGACGGGUGAAGCAGGAGAAACUGGCCCAGAGGCAGGAACUGAGGCCAAAAAGAAAAAGGGCUAUAGCAAUGACUGCUGCCAAGAACAUUGUCUCAGAAAGCUGACAGCAGGACUGGGUUGGCCAAGAUUUACUGCAGGUGAUGUCUGUCAGGUUGCCAUAGGCAGGGUGGUGCUGCGUCUGAAAAGGUGGGGCCCAAAAGCAGUUGCAAUGAGUUCAUUUUCUUCAGCAACUGCCUAAAACAUAAAAGAUGUUCUUAUCCCCUAUACAGAGCAAGGCAGAUGUAUGUAAGGAGGUAGAAGAGGUAAUUGUGCUGAGGUAGUAAUGAGGUCAUGUAAUGAAUUAAGCCAAGGUGAAUUAGUUUAAUUGAAACAUAGCAUGGAAAAAAUUUUUUAGGCAGGGAAUGGAGUAAGUGAGGUAUGGCUAUCCCAGAAAUGCUGGCCAGACCUUCGGAAAAAGUUUUAAAGGCUGGAUUAUGAAGGAGGUGUCUCAAGCAAGAAGAUUUUCACUAAGUAAAGGAAUUGUGCCCUGUGUCAUCUUGUCUGCAAAUCCUUUAUGUCCAUAUGUAUGAUCGCUCUAUAUAAUUUUCUGUCACCAUGUAAAAUGCCUAUUGCAGAAAGCCCUUUAGUCAAAGGAAGAUGUUCCAGUUAUUACUUGAUUUGUCUUUUGAUGUGAACCCCUUGGAAGGAAACUUGCCAUGCUGUUUGGACUCAGCGAACCCAGAUAGAAAUACGCAGUAGAGGAAUACUACAGGACACAGAAGCAGGAAAAAAAUAACCUGCCCUGCUUUGUCAUGCUGAGAGACUGGUUAUUGACAGCUGCAAUCAUGGUUUUUCUGCUGGAUGUUCAGCUGAUGAAAGACAUAUCCCAGUGUUUCCUGAAGAAACACUGCAGAGAUCAACCAGGUGAAAUUUUGUAACUAAGGAUGGAUGAAAAUUGUGGUGAAGUCAAGGUUUUCUAGCAAUAAAAUUCUACAGAAAAGACAGGAUUUUCUUUAAACAUGGGGGAAUAGAAGCUUAUGAACUUUAUCAUUUUAAGCUCACUUUGCAUUGUUGAGGACUGCCUAUAAAAGAAGGGACCCCAAAAGUUGUUGAAACUGUCUGAGUCUGUAUUUCAGGUUCUCAUUUGAUAGAUUUACACAUGUGGCUUUCUUAAUAUUAGGUGUGUUAUAACUGCGUUUUAAAAGGGGGCCUCAGCCCUGGUAGCAUAUUCCAAGAUCUUCCACUUGAAUUUGAUUCUCAUUCAUCAAAUGCUAUUAUUAUUUCCCUGUAACUGUCUUAAAUUUGAACCUUUGAUACACAAACUUAUUUAAUUGUGUUUUAUCAGGCUUGAGUAGGGGAGGAAGUAACUUGAGAGCAAAAGGGUAGCGGAGGAGGCUUUGCAGUUGGGACCCAGCUUGAAACAUGAGCCAGAGGCGACUGCAGCUCACCCGUCCUGCUCUAACACUGAUUUCUUGCAGCUUUUUGCUGCUAAAGCAAAACUGGUCCAUUUCUAAAACACAACAGCAGAUUUGUGGCUGGUGUUUCCACAUUGUUACUUUUCAAGAUUUAUUUUAAAUAUUUUCUGUGGCUUCUGGUAUUGCCAAUUACUUGAUCACAUAAGCUACAGCCGUAAGUCAGCCAUAUAUGAUGGAUCCUCUAUGCUCAAGGUAACUAGAAGCACCAGGACAGCUAUCAUUUUUAAGUGCCCCUAAUGGAAGAUGUCAAAAUUAGUUGCCUUUUAUCUAAUGAAUGUUUUACUGUUUUGUCUUCAGGAACAUGGAGAUGGUGGAGAGAGCCCUGAGAGAAAUGACAGGGACUCUUGGAAUGAAAAAAGCCACCUUGGGGUACAGGGUGUUGAAGACUGUCGUGGUUUAACCCCAGCCGGCAACUAAGCCUCACACGACUGCUCACUCGCUCCUCUGCGGUGGGAUGGGGGAGAGAAUCAGGAGAGUAAAAGUGAGAAAACUCGUGGGUUGAGAUAAAGACAGUUUAAUAGUGAAACCCAAGUUUCAGAAGUGCAGUCACUGAAAGCAGACGUUUCAUCCAUCUACAUGCAAAUGGCCACUAUAAACCAUGCUUGAGUCUCACAGGGAAGAUUGGAAGUGACACAGCCUCCAAGCAAAACUGGGAGCUCAGCCUAUUUCUGCAUAACAAGUGCUCAUCAUUUUCUCAUCUUUUGUCAUCCAAGAGCAAUCAUGACUACAUGCAAACUACCACUGAUAAUUGACGAACAAGCCCAUGGGGCCCCAGCCUAACUGCUUCUCUCUGUCACCCCAGGGCUUGAGGUUGCAGGACAAGCAGCAGAUUCCUGUUGCUGAUGUCUCUGGUCUGACGUGGCAGCAGUUCUAGAUGCGUCUCCAAAAGAGGCAGCUGAGCUAUGAUCCACCCAUCCAAUUCCCAUGCUUCAGCAGUUCUAAUUGGGGAUCCAGCCCUGUUUUUGCCAGGUGCUGCACAAAUAUGAAAUAGAAGAUGGUCUUUACCAGCAAGAACCUACCUUUAGUUCAGAAGAGAUGAUAGCAGGUUGUAUGCUGCGAGUGAAAGGGCAGUGCUCAUGCCUCCAUGUGAGCUCGGAAGGAGAGAGCUGAGUCUUUGGUAGGGCACGGCCUCGCCAAACCCCAAAGUUCAAGCCCCUUGUGACCAAACUGGCUUUGGACUCGGGCGGUCUUCUGCAGCUUAAGGCAUGACAGGUCAUUUCUGGCACUUCUCCCCCCUGCUGAAAGACAGAUAUUUUCUAGUUGUUGACAAAAAAGAACAAAAAAGUAAUACUGGAUCCCAGUCUAUGUCCUUGUUAAGCAUUUAAAAUACCUCUUCUGGAGAACAGCGAGCUCAUCAUCAAACCUUUCAUCAAACCUGCAAAGAGGGGUUCUCCUGUGACAUUGUAAGAAGUCUACACUAAAUGCUUUGACAAAAGCCAUGCACGCUCCGAAAUGAAAUCUUAUUUACUGUGGUGUUAUUAAAGUGCUAAAUAAACA